GAUGAACGCUGGCGGCGUGCCUAAUACAUGCAAGUCGAGCGAACAGACGAGGAUCUUUCUCCUCUGACGUUAGCGGCGGACGGGUGAGUAACACGUGGAUAACCUACCUAUAAGACUGGGAUAACUUCGGGAAACCGGAGCUAAUACCGGAUAAUAUAUUGAACCGCAUGGUUCAAUAGUGAAAGACGGUUUUGCUGUCACUUAUAGAUGGUUCCUCGCCGCAUUAGCUAGUUGGUAAGGUAACGGCUUACCAAGGCAACGAUGCGUAGCCGACCUGAGAGGGUGAUCAGCCACACUGGAACUGAGACACGGUCCAGACUCCUACGGGAGGCAGCAGUAGGGAAUCUUCGGCAAUGGGCGAAAGCCUGACGCAGCAACGCCGCGUGAGUGAUGAAGGUCUUCGGAUCGUAAAACUCUGUUAGUAGGGAAGAACAAAUGUGUAAGUAACUAUGCACGUCUUGACGGUACCUAAUCAGAAAGCCACGGCUAACUACGUG
rnacentral:rRNA from 1 species